UGCUUGUAAUUCUUUUCGCUAGUCUAAUUUCUUGAUGAUUCAUUCUAUUAAGCCAACACCCUUUAAUAUUCCUUAAAAAAAUGUUGACAAGCGGAGGAUAACCGAUGCAUAUGGAACGAGUUAGCUCACUUACAUCACAUUCCCAACCUAUACUCUUUUUAGCAUGUUGUCCAUACUUUGUCUCCACUAUUCAGGUUUAGAAUUGACUCCUCUCCUUUUGCUCUGAAUUGUUUACCCCUUUCAUUCAUUUACUAAAAUUUUUUGUACUCCUUCUGAUGUUUUGAUCUUUUUUUUUUAACUCUUAUUUGAAGUAGAACAACAAUAUACCACUUGAGCAAGGAGCACAUAUCAUUGAAUCCAUGUGGUAAGUGGUUAAUUCUCGUCUCUCAAGUUUCUUGAUCGUGGGAAUCUAAAUGCUUUGGGGUGCAUGGAUAACAAUAGCGACAUAUCUCCCUCAUUUUCAUUGAGAGGCAAGUUGGUUUGAGGGGAGUAUAAAAUAAGGAGAACUAGCAGGACCAUUCUUCCCAUUCCUGCCAUGAUGGAGGAAAAGAGACGGUGGAGGGAUAGUAUCAAUAUCACUAGCAAAACAACAAAUUUGAAGGGAUUACCCAUCAUCAGCAAAGCCAUUAUUCCCAUGUCUGAGGACACUCCAACUUUUUUAUUUGCCCAAUUUGGAGGGAUGGGGAAGGAGGGAUGUAGCAGCAGAGCAAGCUCCUUCAUAUGCUUAUCUUGAGGAUCUACAGCUGGGCAACACCACUGUGGAGCUACGCUUACAUUUGAUCUCUGUCUCUUCUUCAUUGAAGUCUCUGUCUAUUAGACGCAUAAAUGAUCCGAUAUCUCUGCCAGAGGGGCUUCAACAUGUUUCCACUCUACAAACUCUCAGAAUUUCCGGUUGCUUUAGUUUGGCAACUUUACCAGACUGGAUUGGCAGCCUCACAUCACUUUCAUACCUUUCCAUUCAAUACUGCCCUGAGUUGAGAUCACUACCAGAAGAGAUGCGAUCCCUCCGCCAUCUAUACACACUCGAAAUCGGUGGAUGUCCAUGCUUAUAUGAAAGAUGCCAAAUGGAAACUGGCGAAGAUUGGCCUAAGAUUUCUCAUAUUCCCGAAAUUAUUAUUUCGCGACAUUGAAGCAGGUAUGUGAAGCUUGCCUUGUCUCUUUAAUUGAAUGCGUCAUCCACAAUAAAUUUCAAGUAUGCAAUCCAAUUUCCAAUUGUUUGUUGUGCUUUUUCUUAUUUGUUCGCACUUCACCUGUUCGAUAAAAUGCUUAGGUUACCAAAAUGCCUUGUUACUCGGUGUUUGCAGUUUACACGUUUGCAUUUUAUUGCCGUCGAAAUUGUUGUCAUCUCAUUUCUCUCAAAUAUUAUAUAAAUUUCAGAAUAUAAUACUUGAAACUGUUGCACUACUGAUUAUUUAAGGCUUGGAAUGCCUUCAAAAAUUGCAACCAUCAUGCCUCUAGAUGGCCACCCAAGAAAACUAAAGCUCAGGAAACUCAGCCAGGAAUUUAUAUUAAUCAGAACUAGACUCUUAUAUGGAUUUGCUUGUAGUGUUUAACAAUGUUUGGGCUAGAACUUAAAGAAGUGUAGCUCCAUAUUCCUUGAUAGACAUGUUAAUGUAUUGAGGUGAACCCCACCACAUGUUGAAUUGAUUGGUAGUGUGAAGAAGACCAUUGGUGUAUAUAGGUGUAGACUAAGGUGCUUCUUCCACAGGGCUGCCACAAGCAAUCUAAUUUCUUUUUCUUAUUUUUUUUCUUUUUUUUAUGUUGAUUCUUAUAAGAUGGCACCAAAAGCAUAAAAUAAAAUCUAAUGCUUAUUUAGAGUUUUUUGUAAUAUAAACAAGAGUCUAUUGCAAAGAAAGAACAAACAUAUUUCUAUGCAAUUUUAAAUUAUUCAACUUACUAUGUGUUUGCAAUCCAAUUUGUAUGGUUGUUUUUACGGGGUUUAUUUUUAGUUAUUUUACAAUUCAUCUCUUAAGAACCUUAUAUAUAUUAUAUUUUGCUAAUUUCGAUAUGUAAUAGCAUAUGUGAGGAAAAAGGUUUUUCAAUUUGUUUUCCUUCACUUUGUUGCAUGUCUAUGUUCUUUUAUUCAUGAAGAUAACUGGGACUGUAAAUGUCAUGUUCGGUUUUAUUGUAGUUAUUCAGAAUAUCACUUGGGAUGUGCAUAUAAUACUUUCUUAUUAUGGAAGUCUUUUCCCUGGUUAUAAAUUAUGAUUUGAUUUUAUAUUUUUGGAUUGAACAAUGCUUGUAAUUCUUUUCGCUAUUCUAAUUUCUUGAUGAUUCAUUCUAUUAAGCCAACACCCUUUAAUAUUCCUUAAAAAAAUGUUGACAGGUGGAGGAUAACCGAUGCAUAUGGAACGAGUUAGCUCACUUACAUCACAUUCCCAACCUAUACUCUUUUUAGCAUGUUGUCCAUACUUUGUCUCCACUAUUCAGGUUUAGAAUUGACUCCUCUCCUUUUGCUCUGAAUUGUUUACCCCUUUCAUUCAUUUACUAAAAUUUUUUGUACUCCUUCUGAUGUUUUGAUC
rnacentral:lncRNA from 1 species